AAUACUCAUUGUGGAAUAAUAACAUUUUCAGAUGAAUUUAGCAGAUUUACACGAAAAAUGAAGUAGAACUGAGCUCCGGGACAGUUUUUUAUCUGCUGUAGCAUUUUUUUCUCGUAGUGAAAGUUGC
ensembl:snoRNA F48F5.7 ncRNA